AGAGUUUGAUCAUGGCUCAGAUUGAACGCUGGCGGCAUGCCUAACACAUGCAAGUCGAACGGUAACGCGGAGAGCUUGCUCUCUGGCGACGAGUGGCGGACGGGUGAGUAAUACUUAGGAAUCUGCCCAAUAGUGGGGGACAACAUUCGGAAACGGAUGCUAAUACCGCAUACGCACUACGGUGGAAAGUGGGGGACCUUCGGGCCUCACGCUAUUGGAUGAGCCUAAGUCGGAUUAGCUUGUUGGUGAGGUAAAAGCUCACCAAGGCGACGAUCCGUAGCUGGUCUGAGAGGACGAUCAGCCACACUGGGACUGAGACACGGCCCAGACUCCUACGGGAGGCAGCAGUGGGGAAUAUUGGACAAUGGGCGCAAGCCUGAUCCAGCAAUGCCGCGUGUGUGAAGAAGGCCUGCGGGUUGUAAAGCACUUUCAGUAGAGAAGAAAAGCCUAGGGUUAAUAGCCCUGAGUCUUGACGUAACCUACAGAAGAAGCACCGGCUAACUCCGUGCCAGCAGCCGCGGUAAUACGGAGGGUGCGAGCGUUAAUCGGAAUUACUGGGCGUAAAGCGCGCGUAGGCGGUUUUGUAAGUCGGAUGUGAAAGCCCUGGGCUUAACCUGGGAAUUGCAUUCGAUACUGCUUAACUAGAGUACGGUAGAGGGAAGUGGAAUUUCCGGUGUAGCGGUGAAAUGCGUAGAUAUCGGAAGGAACACCAGUGGCGAAGGC
rnacentral:rRNA from 1 species